UAAAUCUGUUGCUGUUAUGGUGUUAUCAACGGGUGAAAACCAAUGCUGAAUCCAUGGCAGGACUCCCAGACAGGGCUGCAAAGUCAGUAAGACUCAUCCCCUGGGGACCAUGAAUGACUGCACAGAAUUUCAAUUUCAAUCCAUCCAAUUGCUGUGUCUCCCUCCUCUGCCUGUUGAUUACUUCAUCCACCCCUCGACCAUGCCUUUUGCUGUAUGACAGUGUUCUGUCUUCACAAGGACUGCAAAUAGGUUUGUCAAUAUGUCAUGCAUGGUAAUUUACAGCCAUCAUUCAUCUCAUAAAAAAAAGAGUGUUGACUGAUGGUGCAUAGAUUUUGAACAAAAUAGUUGAUGACAGCAGUGAUGAAUCUCCUGAGUAAGGCUGUUUUGUUAAGUAAAAUGCUUGUGAGAAAGGAGCGAUUUCCACAGCCAGCUGCUAUCCCGGCUGCUUCCUUGCUUAUCUAUCCACCAUGAGA